rnacentral:rRNA from 1 species
GCAUUAUACCGUGAAACUGCGAAUGGCUCAUUAAAUCAGUUAUCGUUUAUUUGAUAGUACCUUACUACUUGGAUAACCGUGGUAAUUCUAGAGCUAAUACAUGCUGAAAACCCCGACUUCGGAAGGGGUGUAUUUAUUAGAUAAAAAACCAAUGCCCUUCGGGGCUCCUUGGUGAUUCAUAAUAACUUCUCAGAUCGCAUGGCCUUGCGCCGGCGACGGUUCAUUCAAAUUUCUGCCCUAUCAACUUUCGAUGGUAAGGUAUUGGCUUACCAUGGUUUCAACGGGUAACGGGGAAUUAGGGUUCGAUUCCGGAGAGGGAGCCUGAGAAACGGCUACCACAUCCAAGGAAGGCAGCAGGCGCGCAAAUUACCCAAUCCCGACACGGGGAGGUAGUGACAAUAAAUACUGAUACAGGGCUCUUUUGGGUCUUGUAAUUGGAAUGAGUACAAUUUAAACCUCUUAACGAGGAACAAUUGGAGGGCAAGUCUGGUGCCAGCAGCCGCGGUAAUUCCAGCUCCAAUAGCGUAUAUUAAAGUUGUUGCAGUUAAAAAGCUCGUAGUUGAACCUUUGGCCUGGCUGGCAGGUCCGCCUCACCGCGUGCACUUGUCCGGCCGGGCCUUCUUUUCUGGAGAACCGCAUGCCCUUCACUGGGUGUGUUGGGGACCAGGACUUUUACUUUGAAAAAAUUAGAGUGUUCAAAGCAGGCCUUUGCUCGAAUACGUUAGCAUGGAAUAAUAGAAUAGGACGUGCGGUCCUAUUUUGUUGGUUUCUAGGACCGCCGUAAUGAUUAAUAGGGACAGUCGGGGGCAUCAGUAUUCAAUUGUCAGAGGUGAAAUUCUU